UAAAUACCAGUACCACUCCGGUUCUCCAUAGCAAACCAUUCCUCACUAGUCUUUCUGCUCUGUGCAAUACCGGUGGAAGAUCCAUAAAAACCAUGGCAGACCCAGCAUCGCCAGCUUCGAUGUGGGGUUUCGCGACCGGCUGGUUUACACCCGCCAAUCUUUUCUUAUUCGUCAAUCUGGUGAUUGGCACCAUUGCCCUUACCUCCCGUUUCGGCUCCAACAGAAGACAACAUCAAGAGGAAAUUCAACCUCUCGCUAGAACCCCUUCCCUCUUAGAGCGAGUCAAGUCCAUCAACUUUUCAUUCUACAACCACCCACUGCCUGACUCUGAACCGCAAGUAGAACCCACAACGGACUCAGUGCAUGACACCGAGCCAGAGUGCACAACUGAGGUUCAUACGGUUCAACUCGAACGAGCCCCCUCAUUCUUAGAACGGGUUAAGUCCAUCAAGUUGUCUUCUUUCUAUAGAUCCGAACCAGAAACCGAAAUUGUUGCUGAAGCUGAUUCGGAUCCAGAUGUGGAAGGGAAGCAUCAGGUAAAGAGGAGUAAAUCGGAGCCUAGGGAAGCUUCGGAGAAGAAAGCGCCUGAGAAGAUGAAGAAAUCAGCAAGCGAAAGAGAGGUGGUCGUAGAGGAGGACAGAGAGAGAGUGGAGCGGAGGAGGCCUGCAACGACGAGGAUAGAAAAGACGGCGUCGUUUGGAGACGAAGGGGUUGACGCGA
rnacentral:misc_RNA from 1 species